rnacentral:rRNA from 1 species
CCUACGGGAGGCAGCAGUGGGGAAUUUUGCGCAAUGCUCGUAAGAGUGACGCAGCGACGCCGCGUGAAUGACGAAGGCCUUCGGGUCGUAAAGUUCUUUCGACAGGGAAGAAAAUGCCUAUAAGUAACUGUGUAUGUAUUGACGGUACCUGUAUAAGCAGCCCCGGCUAACUCCGUGCCAGCAGCCGCGGUAAUACGGAGGGGGCGGGCGUUGUUCGGAGGGACUGGGCGUAAAGAGCACGUAGGCGGUGUUGUAAGUCAUUAGUCAAAGACUAGAGCUCAACUUUAGUAAGGCUAGUGAUACUAUAAUACUAGAGUAUCAGAGAGGAUUGCAGAAUUCCUGGUGGAGCGGUGAAAUGCGUAGAUAUCAGGAGGAAUACCGUUAGCGAAGGCGGCAAUCUGGCUGGAAACUGACGCUGAGGUGCGAAAGCGUGGGUAGCAAACAGGAUUAGAUACCCUAGUAGUC